UGGUGGGCCUUGGAGAAACACAAAGUCCCAGCAAAGUACAUUACCCUCAUCAAGGACAUGUACAAUAAUGUCGUGACAAGUGUUCGAACAAGUGAUGUCGACACCGAUGACUUCCCGAUUAAGAUAGGACUGCAUCAGGGGUCAGCUUUGAGCCCUUAUCUUUUUGCAUUGGUGAUGGAUGAGGUCACAAGGGGUAUACAAGGAGAUAUCCCAUGGUGUAUGCUCUUUGCGGAUGAUGUGGUGCUAGUUGACAAUAGUCGGACGGGGGUAAAUAGGAAGUUAGAGUUAUGGAGACAAACCUUGGAAUCGAAAGGGUUUAGGCUUAGUAGAACUAAAACCGAGUACAUGAUGUGCGGUUUCAGUACUACUAGUUGUGAGGAGGAGGAGGUUAGCCUUGAUGGCCAGGUGGUACCUCGGAAGGACACCUUUCGGUAUUUGGGGUCAAUGUUGCAGGAGGAUGGGGGUAUUGAUGAAGAUGUGAACCAUCGAAUCAAAGCCGGAUGGAUGAAGUGGCGCCAAGCUUCUGGCAUUCUCUGUGACAAGAGAGUGCCACAAAAGCUAAAAGGCAAGUUCUACAGGACGGCGGUUCGACCCGCAAUGUUGUAUGGCGCGGAGUGUUGGCCGACUAAAAGGCGACAUGUUCAACAGUUAGGUGUGGCGGAGAUGCGUAGGUUGAGAUGGAUGUGUGGCCACACGAGGAAGGAUCGAGUCCGGAAUGAUGAUAUACGAGAUAGAGUUGGGGUAGCACCAAUUGAGGAGAAGCUUGUCCAACAUCGUUUGAGAUGGUUUGGGCAUAUUCAGCGCAGGCCUCCAGAAGCUCCAGUGCAUAGCGGACGGCUAAAGCGUGCGGAGAAUGUCAAGAGAGGGCGGGGUCGACCGAUUUUGACAUGGGAGGAGUCCGUUAAG
rnacentral:rRNA from 1 species